AACGCACAUUGCGCCCUUUGGUAUUCCGAAGGGCAUGCCUGUUCGAGCGUCAUUUCAAACCUCAAGCGUGAGCUUGGUAUUGGGCGCGGUCCGUCAGGACCCGCCAGAAACCCGUAGGCAGCGGUGCCCGUCUCCCAGCGUAGUCAAUUCUACCCGCCCGGAGCUCGUGGUGUCGCCCGCCGGACAACACUUUUUCACUAUGGUUUGACCUCGGAUCAGGUAGGGAUACCCGCUGAACUUAA
rnacentral:misc_RNA from 1 species